rnacentral:rRNA from 1 species
GGAUUAGAUACCCUGGUAGUCCACGCCGUAAACGAUCAUCACUCGCUGUUGGCGAUACACUGUCAGCGGCCAAGCGAAAGUAUUAAGUGAUGCACCUGGGGAGUACGCCGGCAACGGUGAAACUCAAAGGAAUUGACGGGGGCCCGCACAAGCGGUGGAGCAUGUGGUUUAAUUCGAUGAUACGCGAGGAACCUUACCAGGGCUUAAAUGUAGUAUGACCGGUCUGGAAACAGACCUUCCCUUCGGGGCAAAUUACAAGGUGCUGCAUGGUUGUCGUCAGCUCGUGCCG